CAUACAUAACACUAAAACAAUUUAACAAUUUGACUAAACCUGCAAAUACGAAAACCGACCAAACAUCCAAUAGACACCCUAGAAUUAUCAUCUUAUUUUAUGUUUUUGUCAAGGAUCUAAACAAAAAAAAUUAGGGCGUGUGCUCUUCCUGUACACUGCUGGGCGCUGGCACUGGUAACCCAUACAAAAAUUGAUUAAGUUUGGAACUUGAAAUCAACGCAAACACAUUCAUUCUUGGAGGAAAAAAUGACUAGAGGAAAGCAGAAGAUUGAAGCUCAGAAACGAAAUGCAGAGAAGAAUCAAAAAUCCAAGGGUUCUCAGCUUGAGGCUCGUGCUGUUGGCCUUAAAGUUGUCUGCCCCAUCUGUAAGGCACAACUAGCAAAUGAAAAACAGCUUGUUGAUCACUACGGCUCGAAGCAUCCUAAGGAAAAGCCACCAAGCAACUCAAGUUGACACAUUGGUCAAAACCAGUUUUCAUGGUUUAGAAAAUCCUCCAUGAUAAUACUGCUGAAACUGAAAUCUCUAUAUUGUACUAAAACAUGCUUCUAUCUGUAUACAUUUACAUUAUGGUUGUUGCUCCCUGUUUUGAAUAAUUUGAGGCACCUAGACUCCUGUGUCUGUACUUAUGGAGAAAGGAAUUCAGUUUUCUCCUUAAUCUUGCAACUAAAGCUGUAAAUUCUGUGUAUGGCGAGCCAUUAAUCGUAUGUUUGUUGCAUGGUCUUCCUGAA